GGCAUGCUUUGUCCAUCAUCACAGUGUAUUUCAACCCACAGUUCCCUGUAUUCCGGAGAGUCUGGUGUCAAGUACUAGCUGCAGUAAUAAUGUAGUCACCAUGUCAUGGGUGAGCAAUGAGGCUGGGGAGCUCUAUACGGUCCAGGCCUUCAGCGCUGAUGGGUUAUUCUCUGACAGCUGCUCGGGGUUUGGUCAGUCAUGUGAUCUCAAAUCACUGACAUGUGGUGAGCCUUACACUGCUACAGUAGUAGCACAGGACAGCGUCUGCACCAGCGCACCAAGUCAAGUUGCUUCAAUCAGGACAGGUUGGUGUGAUUUUAUUGUGAAAUGUAUUAAAAAUACUGAUGAACCAUAUGUUGCAGUAACAUCUACUAUAAUGUAGUUAUUCACAACAAACCUAGAACUUUUCUGCUCCUUAUAAGUCUAUCUUUUUGACAACCACUCAAUGACAGUCACUUCUCUCAUGUCCAGUGCCCUGUGUGCCGGAUAAUGUGACUGCUAAUGUGAGCUGCCAAGGGAAUGAUCUGUCUGUGUUCUGGGAGGAGAGCGCAGGAGCAGACUCUUACACAGCUGUGCUAGAGGACAGUAAUGGCCAAUUCACCAGCUGUCAGAGCAUGAUCCACACCACCUGUACAGUUAACAGACUUGUCUGCGGACAGACCUACCGUGUCAGUGUGACAGCAUCAGACGGAUACUGUGACAGCUUGCCCAGUGCCAUCACUGAAGUUCAGUCAGCUCCUUGUAUGCCUCGUAACAUUCGGGCACUCAUGGACUGUCAGUCUGGUGUGGCUAUAUUGUCGUGGCAGUCAAGCACUGGGGCGUUGCAAUACACAGCCACAGCAGUAAGUGAGUCUGGCCAUGUACUCAGCUGUGAAAAUAACUUAACUAACUGUGAGCUGACCGGACUGGCCUGUGGUGAGAGCUACAACAUCACUGUGUUAGCAGAAGGACAGACCUGUAGCAGCACUGCAACCAUGAGUGGACACCUGAAUACAGGUGAGCAAAAACCACUGGGAACACAUCCUAGAAUACUAAUGAGCAAUACCCUAACAAACAUCCUACUACACAUAACACUCUAGCAACCACCCAACAAUGCUCUCCACCCUCCAUAACCUUUACUUUAGCAAUGUCCUAUCAACAACCCAGUACACCAUAGUAAAAACAUAAUGCUAACCACUCCCCGACUGCAUAGCAAUGCCCUUGCAA
rnacentral:lncRNA from 1 species